rnacentral:piRNA from 1 species
UGAGAUAUCCUGGAACUAAUCUAGCUACGU